rnacentral:rRNA from 1 species
UACGAAGGGGGCUAGCGUUGUUCGGAUUUACUGGGCGUAAAGCGCACGCAGGCGGAUCGUUAAGUCGGGGGUGAAAUCCUGGAGCUCAACUCCAGAACUGCCUUCGAUACUGGCGAUCUUGAGUCCGGAAGAGGUGAGUGGAACUCCUAGUGUAGAGGUGGAAUUCGUAGAUAUUAGGAAGAACACCAGUGGCGAAGGCGGCUCACUGGUCCGGUACUGACGCUGAGGUGCGAAAGCGUGGGGAGCAAACAGG